CACGUAGGGAGCAAGCGUUGUCCGGAUUUAUUGGGCGUAAAGAGCUCGUAGGUGGUUCGGUAAGUCAGGUGUGAAACCUCCAGGCUCAACCUGGAGACGCCACUUGAUACUGCUGUGACUGGAGUCCGGUAGGGGAGCGUGGAAUUCCUGGUGUAGCGGUGAAAUGCGCAGAUAUCAGGAGGAACACCAGCGGCGAAGGCGGCGCUCUGGGCCGGUACUGACGCUGAGGAGCGAAAGCGUGGGGAGCGAACAGG
rnacentral:rRNA from 1 species